CUGGCUCAGAACGAACGCUGGCGGCGUGGAUAAGACAUGCAAGUCGAACGAGAGAAUUGCUAGCUUGCUAAUAAUUCUCUAGUGGCGCACGGGUGAGUAACACGUGAGUAACCUGCCCCCGAGAGCGGGAUAGCCCUGGGAAACUGGGAUUAAUACCGCAUAGUAUCGAAAGAUUAAAGCAGCAAUGCGCUUGGGGAUGGGCUCGCGGCCUAUUAGUUAGUUGGUGAGGUAACGGCUCACCAAGGCGAUGACGGGUAGCCGGUCUGAGAGGAUGUCCGGCCACACUGGAACUGAGACACGGUCCAGACACCUACGGGUGGCAGCAGUCGAGAAUCAUUCACAAUGGGGGAAACCCUGAUGGUGCGACGCCGCGUGGGGGAAUGAAGGUCUUCGGAUUGUAAACCCCUGUCAUGUGGGAGCAAAUUAAAAAGAUAGUACCACAAGAGGAAGAGACGGCUAACUCUGUGCCAGCAGCCGCGGUAAUACAGAGGUCUCAAGCGUUGUUC
rnacentral:rRNA from 1 species